ACUGUAAGGUUACGGCGUUUUAUUCACUACAGAAACAGAUGACAAAACAAGAUGUACUAAGCAACCAACUAGAAGAUGGCUUUUUAAGUGCUGACUCAAAGUGAUUUUGGAAACAUCCCCAGUGAAAAAAUGAUGGCCAGAGGCCAGAAGAACAGCUCAUUAUGAGAGGUGGGAAUCAGACUGUAGAAUGAAAUAAGCAUUAACAACUUCCAGUUUCAUCCUACAAACCAGGGAGAAUUUUAUGUCAUCACAACAGGAAGCUUUGAAGAAGCAGUUCUGCUUGGAUUUUAUGUGCUUUCCAUUGUCACAUCAUCAUCAGAAACAAAAACACAGGAGCUGGUAAAUAAAUGGUAGCAGAAGAUAUAUUCUUUUACUGAGAUUUUAUUUUGAAGAAGCAUAAUCCAUCACUGGCUGUUUUCAUUUCUAGGGGAUGGUGAAUCUGAUGUGCUUGAGUAAGCACUCGUGUUCUUGAGUCAAACAUCUCAUCACUAAGUAAAACUAAUCUGAAGACUUAGGCAUGUUUUAAGGGUUUUCUAUACUCUCUAGUCUAUGUAUUUCUGAGGGGGGGAAAAAAAGAACAAAAAAACCAAACCAAACCAAAAGCAACCACAUACUGAAAAACUCAAA